CAGAAAACCCUUCAGCUCCCCAGGCAUUUGCUGAACCCCUGGCUGCUGGCAGUAUGGGAUUUCAGGCAACCGCGGAGACUGCUCCCCUCCAGGAGAAGAAUGUGGAAUCCGCAGAGCUGGGUUAAGGCACAUCCGCUGCCAAACUGUCUCCAGCAUGUGUAAUCCCUGCUUUUCGGCACCACCCAAGAUGUACUAAUGCUCUUUGUAAAGACUCACUCCCGUGGCCUGUGGGGUUCGGCCUUGAAAGAGGGGGUGGGAGAGGAAAGGAAAGAGAAGGGGAAAGGACUCAUUUGGAAGCAGUGCAUUUUUAUCAGAGGGACUGAAAAGCCUUUCGAGAAUCAGUCAAGAAAAAGGAAUGUGCAUGAGAGUCACGGUGAGUAGCACUUCUCAUCAAACUAGCUGCCCAGGGGUGUUAAAGUGCUUUCUAAAAAGGGAACUAACAGGGCUGCUCACCAUUUACUGUUUUCUAAGAGCCUUAGCUAAAUUAAUCAUAGCACACACCAGCCCUGUAAGGUAAAAUGAUUCCUGGUGUUUUGAAAGCAAUCAGC
rnacentral:lncRNA from 1 species